CCUACGGGAGACUGCAGUAGGGAAUAUUGCGCAAUGGGGGAAACCCUGACGCAGCAACGCCGCGUGAAGGAUGAAGGUUUUCGGGUUGUAAACUCCUUUUGUUAGAGAAGAUAAUAACGGUAUCUAACGAAUAAACACCAGCUAACUCCGUGCCAGCAGCCGCGGUAAUACGUAGGGUGCAAGCGUUACUCGGAAUCACUGGGUGUAAAGAGCGCGUAGGCGGGAUAGCAAGUCAGAUGUGAAAUCCUAUGGCUUAACCAUAGAACUGCAUUUGAAACUGUUAUUCUAGAGUAUUGGAGAGGCAGGUGGAAUUCUUGGUGUAGGGGUAAAAUCCGUAGAGAUUAAGAGGAAUACUCAUGGCGAAGGCGAUCUGCUAGACCACAACUGACGCUGAUGCGCGAAAGCGUGGGGAGCAAACAGGAUUAGAUACCCUUGUAGUC
rnacentral:rRNA from 1 species